AAAAAAGCAGCUAUUGCUCACCACGCAAGCUGCCAAGUUCCUGGGACCAGAUGGAACAGAUCCGAGGCUUUAAAGGAGGUCAUUGACAUCGGGGGGAACACACCGAACACAAGCGAAGUUUCAAGAAGGCUGGACAGAGACUGAUCACAACACAGGAAUGACAGAACACUAAACAAGGAAAUAGAAUCACUAUCUGUUCAUCUCUAACAUCUGUAUUGUGUAGAACACUGGGAGCUACAAAUCCUGCUUGAAUAAAGCUACAGAGUAAUCGAACCCACGUGCAGCCCCUGCUCCCCCAGAGGGGCACGCGCUGCCCUGUCCCGACACCGGCGUCGGCCCCACCACCCUGGGUGGAAUUCAUUUGCAGGAGUGGAGAGCAAAGCAGAGACAUCAGCUACAGGGGAAGGAAAAAGGAGACAUCAAAACCAUUGCUGAGACCUACAGAUGAGAUGUUUGCCUCGGAGCACAACUCUAACAAGAAAAGACCACUUCUAAUGAAGCUCUCCAAAGCACUGCAAUCCGAAGAAAACCUAAGGAACUAUGAAAGCAAGACUGAGCAAAUUCUAAUUAUCUUUUGAAGGCUACACUGCCGUGCACACAAAAAUGGAUUUAAAUGCAUUACAGACCUAAAAACGUGUAAUGGAUGCAUUGCUAGCCUAUUACAUGCAGUUCAUUGUGCAAAGGUUUUUGGUUGUAUGUUUUGUGCAGUGGGCUGUAAAAGUUGCUUAACAGAAGAAAAUGCAUUUGAUUAAAAAUUUACAUCAGAAGAAUGUAACAGG